UACUGUUCAAUCACUUAUUAAGAAGUGGAAAAUUCGGGAAUCUCUUGAUACCAAGCCAAGGUCAGGUAGACCAAGAAAGAUUUCAGCCACAACUGCCAGAAGAAUUGUUUGGGAUACAAAGAAAAAACCACAGGUCCGCCUGAAGAGGAUCUGAUAAGAGGCGACAUAAUUCUCAGGCCCCUCAGCUGAGCCAGAACCAGAAGACAGCAGCCUAUGAUGACAGCAGUGGAGGCAGCAGAACGCACAAGCCGAUCUGUGCCGAUCACACCACCAUCUGCAGAGGGCAAGAGGAAAUACAAUAGGGAUUUUCCUCUUUAGUUUACAGUUCAUGCCUCAAUGUCUGCUGAAGCCAGCGGGGCUUCCGAAUAAUCCUAUUAUUUUGGACAAGGUCAGUCAUUCUUACAGAGUAAUGCUCCAAAAUAUCAAAUAUUUUCCUUUUGAAUGGGAGAUCUAAUAGGUACCUGCCUCACUGGUCGACUGCUUUUACAGGUCAAUGAACAUCGACUACCCAUUUGUCCAGUGGAUUGGCCCAUGAUGUCCGGAGGCCAAAACCUUGUCAAGCACAUGGAUGCAAAAAAAUAAAUGUGAAGCUGGACUGUGACGUGGAGCUAAAGACAUCUGCAAAUGCUUGGAAGCCUGGUUUGAAGAGGAACAGGGCUGUUGAGGAUCCAGAGGCCCAGAAAACUGAGAUGUGCUCCACUCUGGCUUGAGCAAAAUAGAUAGACAGACAGACAACUUACAAAAUACAUAUAAUUUACAUUACAAUAAAUAGAUAUAAUUAGAAGAAUAGGCAUACACAAAAACUUGCACAACAAAUUCUACAGGUUUUACACAACAUGCACAGUAUGCACACAAAAUGACCUAUUUUACAUUAUUAUAUUGCAGUGAUUCACAGGAAGUAUCCACUGGACAUGUACAUUUAUUGAGUAAUGUGUAGCAAAUCAAUGCAUAAAAAUAAUAUGUCAAUCAAUGUUUUAUGUAAAAUCCGGAGCAUCCUCACCAAACUUGAGAGAAAUUUGACCAGCUGAUGAAGAUGCUGACUGACCUCCAUCCAUCCAUCGAAACAUAGGAGCGACUGAGGGGUGUCACAGAACUGGUGUUUGAAAAAUCCAUCAGUGAACCCAGCUUCUCUGGCACAUACGCCAAUAUGUGUCUCUCUCUGACACAUACUGAUACUCUCUGCCCCGUUGAAAGCACAAAUGACUGGUCAACCAAAGAUGAAGGUCAGUUUCAAGGCCCUGCUGGUUUGUUGUUGUUGGAAGGAGUUUUUGUAUAAUGACAAGCCCUUGGCCCUGAAACAAAAAGAAAUGGAGGCAGCUUCAUCAGCUGGUGAACAGGAAAGGCUGAAGGAAGAGAACAAUGCCCACAGACGCUCAAUGGGAAACAUCUGGUUCAUGGAUGAGCUGUUUAAACAGGGGAUGAUUACAGAGGACAAUACGCAUGAGUGCAUAAGGAAGUUGG